rnacentral:tRNA from 1 species
GGGGAUGUAGCUCAGUGGUAGAUUGCUUUCCUAGUAUAUAUGAGGCUCUGGGAUCAAUCUCCAGUACUUCA